rnacentral:piRNA from 1 species
UGGGUGUCUUAGGAUGAUGGUUAGGAAC